AAGAACGCUGGCGGCAGGCCUAAGACAUGCAAGUCGUACGCGAACGACCUUUCGGGGUUAAGUAGAGUGGCGAACGGGUUAGUAACGCGUGGGAACAUACACAGCACAGGGGGAUAACCAUUGGAAACGAUGGCUAAUACCGCAUACGCCCUAUUGGGGAAAGAUUUAUCGGUGUUGGAUUGGCCCGCGUUAGAUUAGCUAGUUGGUGGGGUAAUGGCUCACCAAGGCGACGAUUUAUAGCUGGUUUGAGAGGAUGAUCAGCAACACUGGAACUGAGACACGGUCCAGACUCCUACGGGAGGCAGCAGUCGGGAAUAUUGUGCAAUGGGGGCAACCCUGACACAGCCAUGCCGCGUGAGUGAAGAAGGCCUUAGGGUUGUAAAGCUCUCUCAGAUGUGAGGAUGAUGACGAUAGCAUCAGAAGAAGCUCCGGCUAACUUCGUGCCAGCAGCCGCGGUAAUACGAAGGGAGCUAGCGUUGUUCGGAAUUACUGGGCGUAAAGGGCGUGUAGGCGGAUUAUCAAGUUAGGGGUGAAAUCCCGGGGCUCA
rnacentral:rRNA from 1 species